GGUGAGAUGGCCGAGUGGUUAAGGCGCUACGUUCAGGAAAUACUCUGAAUCCAAUUCCGUAGUCCGAAAGGGCGUGGGUUCGAAUCCCACUCUCAUCA
rnacentral:tRNA from 1 species